rnacentral:tRNA from 1 species
GUUAACGUAGUUUAAAUAAAAUUUAACACUGAAGUUGUUAAGAUAAACCGGAAUAUGGUUUCGUAAACA